UACGUAGGGGGCUAGCGUUGUCCGGAAUCAUUGGGCGUAAAGCGCGUGUAGGCGGUCCGGUAAGUCCGCUGUGAAAGUCGGGGGCUCAACCCUCGAAUGCCGGUGGAUACUGUCGGGCUAGAGUACGGAAGAGGCGAGUGGAAUUCCUGGUGUAGCGGUGAAAUGCGCAGAUAUCAGGAGGAAUACCGAUGGCGAAGGCAGGUCUCUGGGCUGACACUGACGCUCAUGCACGAAAGCGUGGGGAGCAAACAGG
rnacentral:rRNA from 1 species